GUUACUUUGGCAGAUAUAGUGCAAUUGAUUUAGAAUCUUUAUAUGUAAAUUUUUACAGGUAAUA
rnacentral:tRNA from 1 species